rnacentral:rRNA from 1 species
GAUGAACGCUGGCGGCGUGCCUAAUACAUGCAAGUCGAACGAAACUUCUUUAUCACCGAGUGCUUGCACUCACCGAUAAAGAGUUGAGUGGCGAACGGGUGAGUAACACGUGGGCAACCUGCCCAAAAGAGGGGGAUAACACUUGGAAACAGGUGCUAAUACCGCAUAACCAUAGUUACCGCAUGGUAACUAUGUAAAAGGUGGCUAUACUACCGCUUUUGGAUGGGCCCGCGGCGCAUUAGCUAGUUGUUAGGGUAAAGGCUUACCAAGGCAAUGAUGCGUAGCCGAAUUGAGAGGUUGAUCGGCCACAUUGGGACUGAGACACGGCCCAAACUCCUACGGGAGGCAGCAGUAGGGAAUCUUCCACAAUGGGCGAAAGCCUGAUGGAGCAACGCCGCGUGGGUGAAGAAGGUCUUCGGAUCGUAAAACCCUGUUGUUAGAGAAGAAAGUGCGUGAGAGUAACUGUUCACGUUUCGACGGUAUCUAACCAGAAAGCCACGGCUAACUACGUG